rnacentral:rRNA from 1 species
GACGAACGCUGGCGGCGUGCUUAACACAUGCAAGUCGAACGGAAAGGCCUGCAGCUUGCUGCGGGUACUCGAGUGGCGAACGGGUGAGUAACACGUGGGUGAUCUGCCUUGCACUUCGGGAUAAGCUUGGGAAGCUGGGUCUAAUACCGGAUAGGACAGCUGUUUAGUGUCAGUUGUGGAAAGUUUUUUCGGUGCAAGAUGAGCUCGCGGCCUAUCAGCUUGUUGGUGGGGUAAUGGCCUACCAAGGCGUCGACGGGUAGCCGGCCUGAGAGGGUGUACGGCCACAUUGGGACUGAGAUACGGCCCAGACUCCUACGGGAGGCAGCAGUGGGGAAUAUUGCACAAUGGGCGGAAGCCUGAUGCAGCGACGCCGCGUGGGGGAUGAAGGCCUUCGGGUUGUAAACUCCUUUCGACAGGGACGAAGCGUAAGUGACGGUACCUGUAUAAGAAGCACCGGCUAACUACGUGCCAGCAGCCGCGGUAAUACGUAGGGUGCGAGCGUUGUCCGGAAUUACUGGGCGUAAAGAGCUCGUAGGUGGUUUGUCGCGUCGUCUGUGAAAUUCCGGGGCUUAACUCCGGGCGUGCAGGCGAUACGGGCUGACUUGAGUGCUGUAGGGGAGACUGGAAUUCCUGGUGUAGCGGUGAAAUGCGCAGAUAUCAGGAGGAACACCGAUGGCGAAGGCAGGUCUCUGGGCAGUAACUGACGCUGAGGAGCGAAAGCAUGGGUAGCGAACAGG